rnacentral:rRNA from 1 species
UGCAAGUCGAACGGGCCUGGUUUUCGAAUCAGGCCAGUGGCGCAAGGGUGAGUAAGGCGACGGUAACCAACCCCAUGGUUGGGUAUAGCCGCGGGAAACUGCGGGUAAUCCCCAGCGACGCAGGGUGCCGGCAUCGGUGCCCUGUCACAGCUCUGGCGCCGUGGGACGGGCCGUUGUGGUAUUAGGUAGUUGGCGGGGUAACGGCCCACCAAGCCAAUGAUGCCUACCGGGCGUGCGAGCGUGGCCCGGCACACUGGGACUGAGACACUGCCCAGACUCCUACGGGAGGCUGCAGUCGAGAAUCUUCGGCAAUGGGCGCAAGCCUGACCGAGCGACGCCGCGUGGAGGAUGAAGGCCUUCGGGUUGUAAACUCCUGUCGAGGGGGAGGAAGCCGCAAGGUUGACCGAUCCCUGGAGGAAGCACGGGCUAAGUUCGUGCCAGCAGCCGCGGUAAGACGAACCGUGCGAACGUUAUUCGGAAUCACUGGGCUUAAAGCGCGUGUAGGCGGAUGGGAACGUCGGUACCUGAAAGCCCCCGGCUCAACCGGGGAAGGGGGGCCGAAACGACCUGUCUGGAGGGACGUAGG